UUGGCUCAGGAUGAACGCUGGCGGCGUGCCUAACACAUGCAAGUCGAACGGAGUUAUUUUGACGGAUUCCUUCGGGAUGACGGAUUUUUAACUUAGUGGCGGACGGGUGAGUAACGCGUGAGUAACCUGCCUCUAAGAGGGGAAUAACGUUCUGAAAAGAUCGCUAAUACCGCAUAACAUAUUGAAGCCGCAUGACUCUGAUAUCAAAGAUUUAUCGCUUAGAGAUGGACUCGCGUCCGAUUAGCUUGUUGGCGGGGUAACGGCCCACCAAGGCGACGAUCGGUAGCCGGACUGAGAGGUUGAACGGCCACAUUGGGACUGAGACACGGCCCAGACUCCUACGGGAGGCAGCAGUGGGGAAUA
rnacentral:rRNA from 1 species